UUCAUCUAAUUAUUAUUCUUUAAAUUUUAGGUUAUUUUAAACCGAUUAUUCAAUUUUUUAAUUUUACUAUCCAACUUUUCAGUUUGUUUGAUUUGAAUCGGUUGAAUGAUAUUUUAACUUCAAAUUUUAAAUUCGUCAGUUAUAUUUACCGAUUUUGUUAGUGUAAUGCAUGCAAUUUGCAUCUGUAAAUUCAUUAAACUAAAACAUUAACUUAAAUUUUAAAGUUAAAUUAUUAUUGACCGAUUCAAAUCAAAUAAAUUGAAAGGCUGAGCAAUAAAAUUAAAAUUUUGAAAAGUGGGGUAGUUGAUUCAAAUUGUUCAUAGCUGAGAUAACUUUUAUAUGUUUCUGCUGAUUUAUUUGUAACGCUCCAAUAGUCCAACAUCGAAUGGGAUACUGAUUCCCAUCAGUUUAUAUGAGGCCUAUACGCUAGUAAUAAUAACUGGACUUAAGUAUUUUGGGCCGGUGGUUUGAACCUAACGAGUUAUUAUUGCUAGCGGGUCGAGUCGUUACAUUUAGUAUCAGAGCCGAAUGCCAACUGAAAGUGUGAGAGUUAAGCGCUAUGCGGAACAAAGUGCUACACCAAUGGAUCGGGAGCCACCUCUUCAACCCGUAGGAGCCACCUUUAGAAUCCACCUCUUGAACCCAUAAGAGCCACCUUCUGAAUCUCACAUCGUUUGGUAAUUCUGAUUAUAGUCUAUCUAUUGGGAGCCACCUCUCAUUUGGUAAUUCUGAUUCUGAUCUAUCUGUUUGUGAUCUGGUUUGAACCUGAGGAGUGGUUUGAACCCGAGGAGGACGUCAGGGUCUAAAUAGGGGGAGUUUGUAACACCCCAAUAGUCCCACAUCGGAUGAGAUACUGAUUCCGAUCAGUUUUUAUGAGGUCUAUACACUUGUAAUAAUAACUAGGCUUAAACAUUUUGGGCCGGUGGUUUGGGCCGAACAAAUUAUUGUUGCUAGCGGGUUGGAUCGUUAUGUUAUUUUUAUAUGCAAAUUUUGCACGCUACCCACAACAAAAUAUCGAAUUUGUAGAUUUAGGAUUGUUAAUAAAGAGGGCCAUAGACCAAGCUUGCAAGGCAAUGGUCUUGAACUAUAAAUUUGCAAAUUAUUUGUUACUGGCUUCAAAGGGCCAAUAUUUUGCCUUGUAGCAGGAGGUUGGGUUGGGCUGAGUCAUGUUCGAUGUGGUAUGAGACUGAUUGGACCGAGUCACAAUCGAGACCCGUGAGCGAUGUAUUUGUACGCUUUAAGUAAAUUAGUUUUGUAUUUCUAGCAACUUAAGUAUUUGGAUUUAAUUGUUUGCACCAACGAUCCAAUAAAUAAUAUUAGAGCCAGAGGUUACAGGUUUUGAUUCUCGCAUGUUGCGAAUUUGUACAUGUGGUGGGAAGGGUAGGGGGAAAGGGGGUUGAUUUUUCAUUUAAAUAGACCAGCAUUCUACCCUAUGACAAGAGGUCAGGUAGGACUGAGUCAUGCUCGAAGUGGCGUGAGGCUGGUUGGCCCAUUAUUGGCUUAAACGGGCUAGCAUCUUGCCUUGUGGCAGAAGGUAGGAUUGGGCCGAGUCAUGUUUGAAGUAGCAUGACACUAAUUUGGCCGAGUCAUGUUCGAAGUGGUGUGAGGCUGAUUGGACUGAGUCACAAUCGAGACCUAUGAGCAUUGUGUUUGUACACUUUAAGUGAAUUGGUUGCGUAUUUCCAACAACUUGAGAUUUUGUAUUAAUGAUUAGCA
rnacentral:lncRNA from 1 species